GCAUGGAGCCGACCUUGAAAUACCACCCUUUAAUGUUUGAUGUUCUAACGUGGACCCGUGAUCCGGGUUGCGGACAGUGUCUGGUGGGUAGUUUGACUGGGGCGGUCUCCUCCUAAAGAGUAACGGAGGAGCACGAAGGUUGGCUAAUCCUGGUCGGACAUCAGGAGGUUAGUGCAAUGGCAUAAGCCAGCUUGACUGCGAGCGUGACGGCGCGAGCAGGUGCGAAAGCAGGUCAUAGUGAUCCGGUGGUUCUGAAUGGAAGGGCCAUCGCUCAACGGAUAAAAGGUACUCCGGGGAUAACAGGCUGAUACCGCCCAAGAGUUCAUAUCGACGGCGGUGUUUGGCACCUCGAUGUCGGCUCAUCACAUCCUGGGGCUGAAGUAGGUCCCAAGGGUAUGGCUGUUCGCCAUUUAAAGUGGUACGCGAGCUGGGUUUAGAACGUCGUGAGACAGUUCGGUCCCUAUCUGCCGUGGGCGCUGGAGAACUGAGGGGGGCUGCUCCUAGUACGAGAGGACCGGAGUGGACGCAUCACUGGUGUUCGGGUUGUCAUGCCAAUGGCACUGCCCGGUAGCUAAAUGCGGAAGAGAUAAGUGCUGAAAGCAUCUAAGCACGAAACUUGCCCCGAGAUGAGUUCUCCCUGAGACUUUAGGUCUCCUGAAGGAACGUUGAAGACGACGACGUUGAUAGGCCGGGUGUGUAAGCGCAGCGAUGCGUUGAGCUAACCGGUACUAAUGAACCGUGAGGCUUAACCUUACA
rnacentral:rRNA from 1 species